GAUGAACGCUGGCGGCGUGCCUAAUACAUGCAAGUCGAGCGAACAGAUGAGGAGCUUGCUCCUCUGACGUUAGCGGCGGACGGGUGAGUAACACGUGGAUAACCUACCUAUAAGACUGGGAUAACUUCGGGAAUCCGGAGCUAAUACCGGAUAAUAUAUUGAACCGCAUGGUUCAAUAGUGAAAGACGGUUUUGCUGUCACUUAUAGAUGGAUCCGCGCCGCAUUAGCUAGUUGGUAAGGUAACGGCUUACCAAGGCAACGAUGCGUAGCCGACCUGAGAGGGUGAUCGGCCACCCUGGAACUGAGACACGGUCCAGACUCCUACGGGAGGCAGCAGUAGGGAAUCUUCCGCAAUGGGCGAAAGCCUGACGGAGCAACGCCGCGUGAGUGAUGAAGGUCUUCGGAUCGUAAAACUCUGUUAUUAGGGAAGAACAAAUGUGUAAGUAACUAUGCACGUCUUGACGGUACCUAAUCAGAAAGCCACGGCUAACUACGUG
rnacentral:rRNA from 1 species